UACGUAGGGUGCAAGCGUUAAUCGGAAUACUGGGCGUAAAGCGUGCGCAGGCGGUUUUGUAAGUCUGUUGUGAAAUCCCCGGGCUCAACCUGGGAAUGGCAAUGGAGACUGCAAGGCUAGAGUUUGGCAGAGGGGGGUAGAAUUCCACGUGUAGCAGUGAAAUGCGUAGAUAUGUGGAGGAACACCGAUGGCGAAGGCAGCCCCCCUGGGUCAAAACUGACGCUCAUGCACGAAAGCGUGGGGAGCAAACAGG
rnacentral:rRNA from 1 species